rnacentral:rRNA from 1 species
AUUGAACGCUGGCGGCAGGCUUAACACAUGCAAGUCGAGCGGGGUGAUGGUGCUUGCACUAUCACUUAGCGGCGGACGGGUGAGUAAUGCUUAGGAAUCUGCCUAUUAGUGGGGGACAACAUCGUGAAAGGGAUGCUAAUACCGCAUACGUCCUACGGGAGAAAGCAGGGGAUCACUUGUGACCUUGCGCUAAUAGAUGAGCCUAAGUCGGAUUAGCUAGUUGGUGGGGUAAAGGCCUACCAAGGCGACGAUCUGUAGCGGGUCUGAGAGGAUGAUCCGCCACACUGGGACUGAGACACGGCCCAGACUCCUACGGGAGGCAGCAGUGGGGAAUAUUGGACAAUGGGGGGAACCCUGAUCCAGCCAUGCCGCGUGUGUGAAGAAGGCCUUAUGGUUGUAAAGCACUUUAAGCGAGGAGGAGGCUCUUUUGGUUAAUACCCAAGAUGAGUGGACGUUACUCGCAGAAUAAGCACCGGCUAACUCUGUGCCAGCCGCCGCAGUAA